rnacentral:tRNA from 1 species
ACUUGGCUGGCUUAGUUGGUAGGGCAUGUGGCUCUUAAUCUCGAGGCUGUGAGUUUGAGCCCCAUGUUGGGUG